UACGGGGGGAGCAAGCGUUGUUCGGAUUUACUGGGCGUAAAGGGCGCGUAGGCGGCCACCGCAAGUCAGUUGUGAAAUCUCUGGGCUUAACCCAGAACGGUCAGCUGAUACUGCGGGGCUAGGGUGCAGAAGGGGCAACUGGAAUUCUCGGUGUAGCGGUGAAAUGCGUAGAUAUCGAGAGGAACACCUGCGGCGAAGGCGGGUUGCUGGGCUGACACUGACGCUGACAGCGCGAAAGCUAGGGGAGCGAACGGG
rnacentral:rRNA from 1 species